rnacentral:rRNA from 1 species
CCUACGGGACGCAGCAGUGAGGAAUAUUGGUCAAUGGCCGUAAGGCUGAACCAGCCAAGCCGCGUGAAGGAUGAAGGUCCUAUGGUUUGUAAAUUUCUUUUAUAGGGGAGUACAGGUAUCCACGGGUGGAUUUUUGCAUUUACCCUAUGAAUAAGCAUCGGCUAACUCCGUGCCAGCUGCCGCGGUAAUAAGGAGGAUGCGACGGUUAUCCGGUUUUGUUGGGUUUAAAGGGUGCGUAGGUUGUUUUUUAAGUCAGCGGUGAAAGUCUGUGGCUCAACCAUAAAAUUGCCGUUGAUACUGGAAGACUUGAGUGUGUUUGAGGUAGGCGGAAUGCGUGGUGUAGCGGUGAAAUGCAUAGAUAUCACGAAGAACACCGAUUGCGAAGGCAGCUUACUAGGCCAUAACUGACGCUGAAGCACGAAAGCGUGGGGAUCAAACAGGAUUAGAUACCCUUGUAGUC